GAUGAACGCUGGCGGCGUGCUUAACACAUGCAAGUCGAACGAUGAAGCCCAGCUUGCUGGGUGGAUUAGUGGCGAACGGGUGAGUAACACGUGAGUAACCUGCCCUUGACUCUGGGAUAAGCCUGGGAAACUGGGUCUAAUACUGGAUAUGACUUCUCAUCGCAUGGUGGGGGGUGGAAAGAUUUAUUGGUCUUGGAUGGACUCGCGGCCCAUCAGCUUGUUGGUGAGGUAAUGGCUCACCAAGGCGACGACGGGUAGCCGGCCUGAGAGGGUGACCGGCCACACUGGGACUGAGACACGGCCCAGACUCCUACGGGAGGCAGCAGUGGGGAAUAUUGCACAAUGGGCGCAAGCCUGAUGCAGCGACGCCGCGUGAGGGAUGACGGCCUUCGGGUUGUAAACCUCUUUCAGUAGGGAAGAAGCGAGAGUGACGGUACCUGCAGAAGAAGCGCCGGCUAACUACGUG
rnacentral:rRNA from 1 species